GACGAACGCUGGCGGCGUGCUUAACACAUGCAAGUCGAACGGAAAGGCCCUGCUUUUGUGGGGUGCUCGAGUGGCGAACGGGUGAGUAACACGUGAGUCACCUGCCCUUGACUUUGGGAUAACUUCAGGAAACUGGGGCUAAUACCUGAUAGGAGCUCCUGCUGCAUGGUGGGGGUUGGAAAGUUUCGGCGGUUGGGGAUGGACUGGCGGCUUAUCAGCUUGUUGGUGGGGUAGUGGCUUACCAAGGCUUUGACGGGUAGCCGGCCUGAGAGGGUGACCGGCCACAUUGGGACUGAGAUACGGCCCAGACUCCUACGGGAGGCAGCAGUGGGGAAUAUUGCACAAUGGGCGGAAGCCUGAUGCAGCAACGCCGCGUGCGGGAUGACGGCCUUCGGGUUGUAAACCGCUUUCGCCUGUGACGAAGCGUGAGUGACGGUAAUGGGUAAAGAAGCACCGGCUAACUACGUG
rnacentral:rRNA from 1 species